CCUACGGGGGGCAGCAGUGGGGGAUAUUGCACAAUGGGGGAAACCCUGAUGCAGCGACGCCGCGUGUGGGAAGACGGUCUUCUUGAUUGUAAACCACUGUCCCCAGGGACGAAAAUGACGGUACCUGGGGAGGAAGCUCCGGCUAACUACGUGCCAGCAGCCGCGGUAAUACGUAUGGUGCAAGCGUUAUCCGGAUUUACUGGGUGUAAAGGGAGCGCAGGCGGCACGGCAAGCCUGAUGUGAAAGCCCGCGGCCCAACCGCGGGACUGCAUUGGGAACUACCGGGCUGGAGUGCCGGAGAGGUA
rnacentral:rRNA from 1 species